AGAACGAACGCUGGCGGCAGGCUUAACACAUGCAAGUCGAACGCGUGUAGCAAUACACGAGUGGCGCACGGGUGAGUAACGCGUGGAUAUCUGCCUUUUGGUUCGGAAUAACCCCGGGAAACUGGGGCUAAUACCGGAUGGUUCCUACGGGAUAAAGAUUUAUCGCCAAAAGAUGAGUCCGCGUACGAUUAGCUAGUUGGUGAGGUAAUGGCUCACCAAGGCGACGAUCGUUAGCUGGUCUGAGAGGACGAUCAGCCACACUGGGACUGAGACACGGCCCAGACUCCUACGGGAGGCAGCAGUGGGGAAUAUUGGACAAUGGGGGCAACCCUGAUCCAGCCAUGCCGCGUGAGUGAUGAAGGCCUUCGGGUUGUAAAGCUCUUUUGGCGGGGACGAUGAUGACGGUACCGCAGAAUAGCCCGGCUAACUUCGCGCCAGCAGCCGC
rnacentral:rRNA from 1 species